UCUUCAUCACAGGCGACUCAAAAGUCUAAGAUCAAAUGGACGGAAGCCCUUGAAAAUCAUUUUUACGAAGCCAUUGAACACAUUGGUAGUGUUCAUAGGGCAACACCUAAGAAGAUUUUAAAAUUCAUGAACCUGAAAUUCCUGACAAAAGCACACAUAUCCAGCAAAUUACAGAAGUGCCGACAAACCGUGAAAAGAGAUGAGGAAAGCAUGAGAAGGCCAAGAAUGGCUAUGUACCCGGAAUUCUCAUCAGCAG